GGACAUGUAGCUCAGCUGGUUAGAGCGUUCGCUUCACAUGUGAAAGGUCAGGGGUUCGAGUCCCUUCAUGUCCACCA
rnacentral:tRNA from 1 species